GCUGCCUUAGCUCAGUCGUAGAGCUUUCACUCGUAAUGAAAAGGUCGCGAGUUCGAUUCUCGCAGGCAGCU
rnacentral:tRNA from 1 species